CAGGGCUCUAUUUUGGUUGUGGAUCUUACUUCUUAGCUAGUUAUAAUCACGGAAACGACAAUUAUGGAAGAUAGUAAACUAAACUUAAUUUUCCUCAACAAGGAUACUAUGGCUAAUCAAAUAGAAAAAGGGGUACUAUGCUAGACAGCUAUAAUGCUAAAUGCCAACAUUUUAUUGUUUCUAUCCAAAUAACAUCACAUAUCACAAUUUCGAAUUUUUCUUGUCUAGCCUUAGCCAUAAUCCCACUAAUUUUAACUUGUUGUUGCAUUCAACAUCCAGCAGAUUUGAAAAGGUACCACUUCUAAAAUUGAUAUUUUAAAAUUAAAUUGGGUAUUUUGAAAUUUUGAAAAAGAAAAAAAACCAAAUUAUAAUAGGAAAAUUCAUAACUAAAUGUCAUCUUAGUCGUUCACAUUCAAAAUGAAAAACAAAUAUUAAAAAAAAACAAAUGUUGUUGAAAAGUAAAUAUCCCCCUACGGCAACAACUAUAUAUACGUCCACAAAUUUGAUCAUUCGUUUCUAAACAUUUCAAUGCGUAUUAUAAAAACCCAUCACACGAUAAGAUACCACAUUAUUGAAUGUAUUUUAAGUUUUUAUUUUUAUACACAAGAAUAAGUUUGAUAAAUUCAGUGUAAAACUGCCAAACAAUCACAAAUAAUAAUUUAUAUUUAUACAACUUAAGUUAGAUCAUUAAAAUAUUUCGACUUUUAUUAUGUCUAACUUUUUUUUUUAAACAAACAAAAGUUAGAUAUGGUAAAAGUCAAAAUAUUUUAAUGAUCUAAUAGUUGCGAUUGACUUAUGUAAAAUAUUUUUAGCUGACAGUGUAUAAAUUAAAUUUUAAAAUUAUAUGUAUGGUAAAAAAGUUAAUUGGAUUCUGCAUAUAUGUACAUUAUUGAAUAUGAUGAAUAAGCUCAAGAAUAAAAGCAGUUUCCCACUUCCAAAGAUUUGAAUGGAUUAUUUGAUCUUGUAGUUGAAUUUAAUUUGCAAGUUUCUUGGUUGUUAUAUUUUAGUUGUUGUAGGUUAAUAAUUAUAAUAAGUGAAUUAUGGAAGGAAAAAAAGUGUAAAACACUAUUUAAGAGAUUAUGUUAAAUUUAAUUGUGAGUGAAGUCUCACAUCGAUUAUGAAUGAAAAAAAUAUUAGAUAUAUAAAAUAGAUGUCUCAUAUAUAUGUUCUAAAACUUUAUGUGAAGAUGUGGUGAUUCCUCCUACUAUUAAUCGUGGAACAUUGGUUCGUUAUUGUUCCUAACGCUCUUUCAAACCUCCCAGCAAAUAAUAAUAUUUUGUAGAACGAGAGUUGAUCCUGGUUUUGGAUCCAGAUGUUGGGUAAACUAUGGAUUAGAAAAAGAUUGGACAAAUAAAAAAGGGUGUGACUCAUCAUAUAUACUCAUUCAAUAUCACAUAUCAAAAGGUCGAAUUUUCCUUGUCCGGAAAAAUUAAGUCAUAUAUAAACCACCGAUUACUUUUUUGUUGAUCCAAUUUUCUACAUCUAAUUACAUUAUAUCUUUUGAGAUGGCCAUGGGAUGACAUUCUUUAGAAUCAAAGAAAGAAUCAUUAUCGCUGUCAAGAUUAUUAAUAAGCUGUUUCACAGAUGCUUAUUGAGAGGUCAUGGCAUAUAUAACACCAGGGAUGCUUUUAACAUUCUUAUGAAAUUCCUCACAAUCAUAAUUAAUUUGAUUGAUUGAAUUCUUAGCUAUGAGUCCAAUGACACAAAUAUAAUUAUUCUAUUAGUUUCUUUUUAGAAUUAUUCCCUUACUAACUUUUUAGAAUUUUUCCCCUAAAAGAAAAACCUUUUAGAAUUUUUUUCAUCUGUGUUAUAUAUAUAUAUAUAUUUUAUUUUCAAAAUCUACGGUGAUAUGGACUAUAUUAUUUUUAAAAAAUACUUCAUUCGUUCCUAAAUAUAUGUCGUAUUUUGAUAAUAUGUAUUAUUCACAUAACUUACUUUGUUCAUAUUUUUUAACUGAUAUAUAAAUACAAAUGAUAGCAUAUACAAGAUGUUAGAUUUGUCUCAUGGAAUAUUUUCAAAAAAUCAAAUUUUUUAAAUUUUUUAUUAUAGAUAAUUAAAUAUAUUAAUAAUUAAAGUUGUGUCUUGAUAUGUGUAAAAUGGUUGAUUGCGACAUGUAUUGUGAAACAAAAGAAACUAGUAUGUUGAAGAGCUCUAAAAUGUGAUUAAAGAGAGAUAAUGGCGAAUUUACCCAUAAAAUUAAUAAUUUAGGGAGAUAGUAUGAGGUUAAUUAAGGAAAAUUGAUGGCAAUCAAUUUUAUUAUUGCAGUAGUAGAUAUCUUUGACUGAUUAUUACAAAAAUUAAAGUAAUUAAAAUGAUAUAAUAAAUAGAUAAGAACAUAAAAAAAAAUCAAAUGAUUUAAAUUUUUCUUAUUGAUUUUCUUAGUAAAUUUAACCAGCACAUAAAAGAAACAGAUAUAAUGUACUUAAGAGAUGCAAUUCUAAUAAAAUAAACAAAAAAAAAAAGCAAUUCUGAAAAAAUGUGUCACCUUAAUGUGCCAUAUCUUUUUUUUUUUUACCAAGAUUCGAACCCCAACCUUUGCAUAUAUUAUACAUUAUUUUUACACUGAAUUAAGCUCAGGAAAUAAUUAAUUAUUGAAUCUUUUGGCAAAAAAAAAUUAAUUAUUGAAUCUAUUUUGUCGAGUAAACUUUUAAUUAUUUUCAUAAACUAUCUCUCAAUUAUCAAAUUAAUCUAAUGGUUGAGAUACCAAACAACCAUUUGAUUAAGAGUAGAAUAAGUUUAUAGUCACUAUAAAUAUAUUAUAAUUUGUUUUAGUGAUAAUAUUUUUUAAACAAUGAUCGUUUAAAUAUUUUUCAUCAACAAAUUAAUCAUCAAUAUAAAUAUAAGUUAAACAUGGCAUUGUAUAUAAGAACUAAGAGCAUAUUUAAUAAUUUUCUUUUCUUCUGAGGUGUUGGCUCAGAGAAAUUGAUCAUUUAUUAAAUAAUAUCAUUGAAAGUUAUAAAAUAGACGAUGUUUACAUACAUGAUCCACUUAAGCCCAAAAAAUGGAAUUGUAUGGUAUAAAAUGAAAAAUGAUAUAUUUAUGACAACAAGAAAAUUAUAUUAUAUCCCUUAAAAUAUUAUAUGAUCUUUUGUUCGUAGUCUCCUAUACAUACAACGCACAUGUGCAGCCUUUAAUAACGAUAAUCACUUUGUUUGACGGAAAAUAUUUAGAAAUCAUUGUUUUAAAAAUAAAUUUAAAAGGACUAAAACCUCAAGAUGGAUAUAAACUCACUUAACCCUUUAAUUAGUCCAACAACUUAUAUUUGACCGAAGAGGAUGUAAGGGUGGGAAAGAUGACUCAAGUCCCAUUCUUUAGUAACAUACAAAGAAACUAAACUAAUCAUGAUAUUGUACCCCCGUGAUUACAUUGCAAGUUGCAUAAGCCACUAUUCAAUUAAAAAAAUAUCUUACUGGUCUAUGAUACAUUGUUUUGUGAUACAACUCAUUUUCACAUUAUGCUAAACUUUUUUUUUUUUUUUUUGCCUAAUGAAAUUAUAAUUGAUCAUGAGUUUCGUUAGAAAAACGCAACUUAGAGACUAGACCAAUUGUUGUCAACUUGUCAUUCAAAAGAGAAGACCAUGCAAUGAAAACAAAAAAAAGUUAAUUAAUCCACUUAUUAGCAAAAACAAAAGUCAAUUAAUCAACCAAUCCGGAUAAACCGUUACUAUAUUUUCACUAGAUUGACUUCAAAAUCAUAUGAUUUAAUUUAAUUAUUGAGGUUCUAAUAUUUCAUAGGAUGUGAAGGUUGACGGCGCAGGGACGCAUGCAGCUUCCAAAUUGUGUCUUUUUCACAAAUGUUUGUUUACAAGUUUGCUUCCUUUUCUCUCAAUCCAUUUCACCACUUUUGCUUGGUUGUAUCCUGGUCCUCUUCUUUACUCUUUUCAUAAGGAAUAGUAUAGUGGAGAAAACACGAUAACACAUACAUCAAGUGUGAAGAAGUGCAGGACUCGUGUUUCAAAAUACUAAAUGUCUCCGCAACUAUCGAUUAUCAUUAGUCCUACUAUUAGCCUAGACUGUUUUUAAGAUUGUCGACUGACCCAACAAAUCAACAUAAGUUUUCUCAACUUGUUUUUUCAGAAGGUCAUCUAUCCCAAAAUUGUUUCAAGUCAAACACGUUUAACCGUGGAGUUCCGCUUAACUGUGGAGUUCUUAUGGAAUGAAAUACCAAAAAGAAUAUGCAUCUUGUUGAUACAGGUGCUACCAAAUAAUUCUUAUAAGACUUCCUUCAAUCAUGUAGUUCUAUAUCUACACGGCCUCUUUCAUUCCAAUGUGAUUUGGUUCGUCCACAAGUUGUCGGAAACCGCUCAAUAUCAUACUUUGUGCACCGACGACCGCUCCCCGUCCUCAUCAACUUUGGGUGUUACAAUAAAUUUGAUAUAAUUGUUCUCAAAAUUAGUUAAUAUGAAUUAUGAUACAUUAAUUGAGUUUAUCAAAUAGUAAAUUAUAAAUAUUUGCUAAUUAUAUAACGUUUCAAACAUGCUGCACUGCAUUAAGCAAAUCAUAGUCAAAUUUCAGGUUUGGUCUAUUGUCUAUAGUAUUCCUUCACCGUCUAACUUAUUCAUUUAAGUCGGCAUAAAAUGCGUUACAACUUUUAUAUGAUAAUAAUUGAUAAGGAUAUUUGUACUUGAGAAUUCAGAAUUUUUAUCUUCACAUACAGUGCUGCUAGUGCGUUGGACCUACAUUUAAAAUGUGACAUCUUUUAAUUAAAAAUUUUGAGUCAAUGUCUUCAUCUUGAUUAUUUUAUUGAUUUGCAUGGCUUGUCAGGUUCUAAGAUUGUACGUGUUUGCAAAAUAGUCAGAGAAGAAGAAUAAGAUGGACAGACUAAACACAAAACCAAUGGGUCUACAGCUGUCCUCAUUGACAUGAUGAAAUCUUAGUUUACUUUAUUCUCUACUUGUCAAUUUGAGCCAAACACACUUUUAUGAUUUGUGUAAGGGUCAACUUUUGGUUAGUAGUAUAAUCAUAUUUAUUCAUAACUCUUUCUUCAUAGCUUGUCACACACAUUUGUAG
rnacentral:lncRNA from 1 species